UGGCAUUCCAGGAAAUAGCACCAUUUGAAAUAUGGCCAUAAUUCUUCCUUGAUAGAUAGCUCUUUUGUUAGGGAAGAACUUAGAGGAGAAUCCCCUUACCCCAAAACUUAGGAUAUCUCCAAUUUCUCAAAUAACUUCAUCAUUUAUACCAGAUUAUUGGGCAUAGUAUUUAAGAUGACCCUAGUUGGAAAUUUUGCUAAAUUUCUCGGAAGAGGUACGGACCAUGAGAACAGUUCUGGGAAUAUCUGUGGGACUUGUUUCUGUGUAUUCAUCUGAUUCCAUUAAAUCAAAUCAUGAUAAUCUUUUUUUAAAAAUAGCUCAUUUAAAAAUAAAAACCAUUUAUUUUCAGAGAAUAGGACUUUCCCACCAAUAUGGGUUCACUAAAUAAUCAGGAUUUUCCUUUUUAAAAAAAAAAAAAAAAAAAAAAAUUUACCUGAUGUGGGAGGAAAGGAAAGCCAUUUCCUUAAGACUUUAUGAAAAGUAGGAUAAAAACUAACAUGUCGACUGUUAUUACUCUGUCUGGCUUCAGAAAGAGAUAAAAUAGUCACAUGGCUGAGAAUAAAUUGGAAUGUGGUCCCAAGAGGUACAGGGUUUUAUUGUUGGUAAGUGAGGUUUGUUUUUUUGCCCAUAAUACCCUGGACAUCAGAAUACUUUAUAUACUACUAAGUCUGUACUUGAGGAAAGAUUAGUUACAAUUUGGGCAGUAAAAUGAAACUUUAUUGUGUGGGUGAAUGCAGAUAUGCAUAUAUAUAUAUAUAUGUAUUUUUUUUUCCUGUGACUUGAGAUGGCAUUAAUUACUUUCAUUACCUCUUGACAGCCAUUUUCCGUAUUAAAAGUAGCCAAUCUAGUUUUUAGCUUUCAUGGCACAAUUGACUGCCACAAAGAAGAUGACAUUGUUUUUCCUGGAAUUGGUUGAUUACUUUUGGUUGAGAUUGAUGACAUUUUUGUUAUGCUUGUUCCAUUGUCUGUCCUUUUCACUGCUUUGGGGUGAAAGCCUACUUCAUUGCUUAAGGCAAUUUAUCAGUUUCAUUGACUGACACUUAUUGAAAGUUAAAGAAAAAAUUGGGAAGGGGGGAACCAAAUGAUGUUUUGUUCGACUUUUAUCCAGUAUUGAUAUUGAUACUUUACAUGAUUGUAAAUAAAACUACUGUCUUCUUUUUGUGGUGUUUCUGGUUACACCAUGCAGUGUAAAACAGUAUGUUGCUCUAAUUUAACAUAUUUACAUCUUUCUCUACUAAUUGAGAGUCUUUAUUUAUUUGUCUUGACACAAGUGCUUUUGAUGUUUUUAUUCUAGCUAAUGAUUUCUUAAAGGUAAUAAAACCUUUACAACUUGAUUGGUCAGAGAUGACUUUUUUCCCUCUUUGGGCUAAAAUAAAACAGUUAAUGAAGCACUUAAUAUUUCCGAGAUUAAAUUUUUGUCUAUUUUUAUGAAUUUCAUUCCUAAAGAGAUUUUGUACAAUAAAGCAAUCAUUGAGAUUAUGGAUCAUUGUUUUGAAAUCCUAGUAUUAAUUUUAAUGGAGAUGGGGAGGGGAAGGGCUAUGUGGAUUUUGUAAUCCUCAAGAAUAUCC
ensembl:lncRNA